rnacentral:rRNA from 1 species
CUUAGCAUGAAGUCAGGCAAGCAAACCCGCUGAAUUUAAGCAUAUAAGUAA